rnacentral:rRNA from 1 species
AUUGAACGCUGGCGGCAUGCCUUACACAUGCAAGUCGAACGGCAGCACGGGGCAACCUGGUGGCGAGUGGCGAACGGGUGAGUAAUGCAUCGGAACGUACCUUUCAGUGGGGGAUAACGUAGCGAAAGUUACGCUAAUACCGCAUAUUCUGUGAGCAGGAAAGCAGGGGAUCGCAAGACCUUGCGCUGAUUGAGCGGCCGAUGUCAGAUUAGCUAGUUGGUGAGGUAAAGGCUCACCAAGGCGGCGAUCUGUAGCGGGUCUGAGAGGAUGAUCCGCCACACUGGAACUGAGACACGGUCCAGACUCCUACGGGAGGCAGCAGUGGGGAAUUUUGGACAAUGGGGGCAACCCUGGUCCAGCCAUGCCGCGUGAGUGAAGAAGGCCUUCGGGUUGUAAAGCUCUUUCGGCCGGGAAGAAAUCGCACGGGCUAAUACCCUGUGUGGAUGACGGUACCGGAAUAAGAAGCACCGGCUAACUACGUGCCAGCAGCCGCGGUAAAAC